rnacentral:rRNA from 1 species
UGGGGAAUAUUGGACAAUGGGGGGAACCCUGAUCCAGCCAUGCCGCGUGUGUGAAGAAGGCCUUAUGGUUGUAAAGCACUUUAAGCGAGGAGGAGGGUACUGGUAUUAAUACUACCAGGUACUGGACGUUACUCGCAGAAUAAGCACCGGCUAACUCUGUGCCAGCAGCCGCGGUAAUACAGAGGGUGCAAGCGUUAAUCGGAAUUACUGGGCGUAAAGCGCGCGUAGGUGGUUCGUUAAGUUGAAUGUGAAAGCCCCGGGCUCAACCUGGGAACUGCAUCCAAAACUGGCGAGAUAGAGUAGGGCAGAGGGUGGUGGAAUUUCCUGUGUAGCGGUGAAAUGCGUAGAUAUAGGAAGGAACACCAGUGGCGAAGGCGACCACCUGGGCUCAUACUGACACUGAGGUGCGAAAGCGUGGGGAGCAAACAGG